rnacentral:rRNA from 1 species
UACGUAGGGUGCGAGCGUUAAUCGGAAUUACUGGGCGUAAAGCGUGCGCAGGCGGUUCGUUAUGUCCGAUGUGAAAGCCCCGAGCUCAACCUGGGAACUGCAUUGGAAACUGGCGAGCUUGAGUAUGGCAGAGGGGGGUGGAAUUCCGCGUGUAGCAGUGAAAUGCGUAGAGAUGCGGAGGAACACCGAUGGCGAAGGCAGCCCCCUGGGCCAAUACUGACGCUCAGGCACGAAAGCGUGGGGAGCAAACAGG